rnacentral:rRNA from 1 species
AUACGGGAGGCAGCAGUAAGGAAUAUUGGACAAUGGACGGAAGUCUGAUCCAGCCAUCCCGCGUGGAGGAAUAAGGCCCUAUGGGUUGUAAACUCCUUUAGCAGGGGAAUAAAAAGGUCAUUUAUGAUCAAUUGAAGGUACCCUGAGAAUAAGCACCGGCUAACUCCGUGCCAGCAGCCGCGGUAAUACGGAGGGUGCAAGCGUUAUCCGGAUUUACUGGGUUUAAAGGGUGCGUAGGCGGACUAUUAAGUCAAAUGUGAAAGCUUGCAGCUUAACUGUAAGAUUGCGUUUGAUACUGGUAGUCUUGAAUAUGGUAGAAGUUGGCGGAAUAAAUCAUGUAGCGGUGAAAUGCUUAGAUAUGAUUUAGAACACCGAUUGCGAAGGCAGCUAGCUAUGUCAUAAUUGACGCUGAGGCACGAAAGCGUGGGGAUCAAACAGGAUUAGAUACCCUGGUAGC